rnacentral:rRNA from 1 species
AUUGAACGCUGGCGGCAGGCCUAACACAUGCAAGUCGAGCGGAUGAGGGGAGCUUGCUCCCUGAUUUAGCGGCGGACGGGUGAGUAAUGCCUAGGAAUCUGCCUGGUAUUGGGGGAUAACGUUCCGAAAGGAACGCUAAUACCGCAUACGUCCUACGGGAGAAAGCAGGGGACCUUCGGGCCUUGCGCUAUCAGAUGAGCCUAGGUCGGAUUAGCUAGUUGGUGAGGUAAUGGCUCACCAAGGCGACGAUCCGUAACUGGUCUGAGAGGAUGAUCAGUCACACUGGAACUGAGACACGGUCCAGACUCCUACGGGAGGCAGCAGUGGGGAAUAUUGGACAAUGGGCGAAAGCCUGAUCCAGCCAUGCCGCGUGUGUGAAGAAGGUCUUCGGAUUGUAAAGCACUUUAAGUUGGGAGGAAGGGCUGCUGGUUAAUACCCUGCAGUUUUGACGUUACCAACAGAAUAAGCACCGGCUAACUUCGUG